GGGGCUGCAACUCAGUGGUAGAGCACCUGCCUUGCAGGUGUAAGGCCCUGGGUUCAAUCCUCAGCACCCCA
rnacentral:tRNA from 1 species